rnacentral:rRNA from 1 species
GUUCAUGGCCAUACCCCACUGAACACACCUGACCUCAUCUGAUCUCAGAAGUUAAUAAGCAGGCCUGACCCAACUUGCUACUUGGAGGGGUAGUUUGUU